rnacentral:lncRNA from 10 species
CAAGCCUUUUGAAUCAAAUCCUGUGAUUCAGGUCUUAAAACCUGAACUUGACUGCCUCCCCAUGGGAGUCACAAGUUCAGAACUACUGGCUUUUGUAAAAUUAGAUCAAUGAAAACCUUGAUACAAUCCUUGUCCACAUCUUCAAAACCAGAAGACCUCAUAUUCCAGUUUGCCCAGAAUAGUCCAGGUGUUCCAACAGCCCCAGCUGAGAUCUCAGAUAACAGCCAGUGUCAAUUGUUAAGCAGUCAGCAUUAUAAGAUAGUUAUCUCUCAUUUGGGAUGCUCACUCUUGGAACCCAGCCACCAUGUUGUGAGAAAGCUCAGGCCACAUGCAGAGGCCACAUAAAGUGAAGCCUGUGAAAAUUGAAUAAAGGAGGUGAAUCACAAUCUGGAGCUGACUUAAGAGAAUGAAUUCAAUGACAGCUACCUCAUAGGUUUGUUCUAAAAAAAAAUGUAAAAUUGUGUAAGUUAA